CAUAUGCAAAGAGCCUGAGUUGAAAGGUAUCCAGCCCCAUAACUGCUAGGAAUCUCAGUGCUCCAUCAGCUGAUCUACUGCCUUAAGCAGAGCCUGAGUUCAUAUAUAGUCGGCCUCAGAGAUCCUUUAACUGAUCAUCUGCCCUAACCCAAAACCAUGAGUAUAUAUAUCCGGCCUCAGAACUGCUAGCAAACUCAGCCUCAUCAGCUGAUCCACCGCCAUAUGCAAAGAGCCUGAGUUGAUAGGUAUCCAGCCCCAUAACUGCUAGGAAUCUCAGUGCUCCAUCAGCUGAUCUGCUGCCUUAAGCAGAGACUGAGUUCAUAUAUAGUUGGCCUCAGAGCUCCUUUAACUGAUCUA